rnacentral:rRNA from 2 species
CCUGGUGACUAUUGUGGAGGGGCCACACCCGUUCCCAUACCGAACACGGAAGUUAAGCCCUCCAACGCCGAUGGUACUGCCAUUCGGUGGAAGAGUAGGUCGUCGCCAGGC